GGAUAAGUGGAGUGUUCGUGUGAAGGAGUUCAUGUGUUCAAAUCUUGGCGUGGACAUUAUUUUUGCUCGUGUGUCCAAGAGAGUUUGAAAUGGACUAAAAAUCUGAGUAGUGGAUUUAGUAGGGAGUUUGAUGGAGAGAAAUAAGGGAUUGGGGUGGUUAUCAAAUAUUUUGUUCAUCUUUUUUUUCUUUUUUUUUACUUUCCCCCAAAUCCCUCCACCCUCUUAUCGUUUUUCUCUUUAAUGCUACUGAAUUUCUGCUCUCUUUCACCCUUCAUCUUAUUGAUUUUUCUUUUUCCACUCUGCCUCGUGUCGCUCCAAG
rnacentral:lncRNA from 1 species